GAGUUCCCCUUCAGCCCUGAGCCAGGAGCAGCUCUCAAUACUGGGAGAGGCACAGAGCACUCGAGCUAUUUCAGCCACAUGAAAAGCAUCGGAAUUGAGAUCGCAGCUCAGAGGACACUGGGCGUCCCUUCCACCCUCCAAGGAGCUUUGUCUUCUUGCACCUGGCUGCUUUGGACUUUCCUUAGACAGUAAACAAAUACCUAAAGCAGGGAUAAGACCUUGUGAAUAUGUCGAAACAGCCAGUUUCCAAUGUCAGAGCGAUCCAGGCAAAUAUCAAUAUUCCAAUGGGAGCCUUUCGGCCAGGAGCUGGGCAACCCCCCAGAAAAAAAGAAUGUACUCCUGAAACAGAGGGUGCUCCUCCUACUUUGGAUGAGGAGAAGAAGCCAAUCCCAGGAGCGAAGAAACUUCCAGGACCUGCAGUCAACCUAUCUGAGAUCCAGAAUAUUAAAAGUGAACUAAAAUAUGUCCCCAAAGCUGAACAGUAGUUGGAAGAAAAGAAAAGUGAUGGUAAAAGAACUCAGUGAUACCAAAUAAUUGGAGAGGAACAAAAUUCAAUGUGAAGAAUUAAAGAGGAAGACGAUGGAUUCAAAUGAAUAUAGCUUACUAAGAAAUUUUAUAUAUUUGUAUGAUGACUAUGAACCUCCCGAAUGCCUAAGACCCUAGCAGAAAAGGCCUGUUUGUACAUUUAUAUCUUUUCCCUCUAGAUGGCUGCAUUUCUCAUUUUAAUUUAUCUUUAUCUUCAUUUUUGGCAUCUUGCAGAAUCAGUCAGUUCAUGGAUUCAUCACCUGGAUGAUGUGGUUUUGAGGAGGGAUAUGAUUUCAUGGAGGAGGGAUAUGGCAAUGUGCAUAACAACGAUUUUCACGGAAAGUUCUCUAAGCUAAUUCUCAUAGCAUUUUGGUCAGAAUUUGGAAUGUAUUUUAGUUCUUCACCCUUCAAAUUAUGUCAAUAAACUUUUUAUGAGUUAAAAUAAA